UUCCAAGCUCCGACGGGAUGG
rnacentral:miRNA from 1 species